AGAAGAUCCUGCCCUACUUGAACAUAAUGCUCUCCUCGACUGUUCCCACCUCCUACAACCUCCAUUCCAGUAGAAGCACUUUAUUUAGUCUACCUCAAUACAAAAAGAAAGCCGUCCGAUCCUCCUUUUCCUACAGAGCACCGCAAUUAGGGAACGACCUCCCGCAUACUUUCAAAUCUUCCCCAAAGCUAAAGUCCUUUUAAGAGAUCCCUCUCUAUACCUCAAAACAGAAUGCACG